CAUAGAUAGGGUCUGCCUGAGCUUUCACCCCAGGAACUGUAAACUUUAUAUUACAGUAGUCCCCCCUUAUCCAAGGUUUUAGCUUUCCAAGGUUUCAUUUACCUGUGGUCAACCAUGGUCCAGAAACAUUAUAUGGAAAAUUCCAGAAAUAAACAAUGUAUAAGUUUUAAAUUGUGAGUCAUUCUGAGUAGUGUGAGGAGAUCUUGUGCUGUCCUGCUCCAUCCUGCCUGGGUCAUAAACCCUCUCUCUCGGGGUCCAGCAUCUCCACGCUGUAGACACCCCCACCACCAACCAGUCACUUAGUGGCCAUCUCAGUUACCAGAUCUACUGUCAGGGGGUCUCAGUGCUUAGGUUCCUUUUUUAUUUUUGAGACAGAGGCUGGCUCUGUCGCCCAGGCUGGAGUGCAGUGGCAUGAUCUUGGCUCGCUGUAACCUCCACCUCCUGGGCUUAAGCCAUGCUCCCACCUCAGCCUGCCGAGUAGCUGGGACUACAGGUAUGUGCCACCGUGACCGGUGAAUUUUUGUGUUUUUUGUAGAGGCAGAGUUUUGCCAUGUUGCCCAGGCUAGUCUCAAACUCCCGAGCUCAAGUGAUCCACCUGCCUUGGACUCCCAAAAUGCUGGGAUUACAGGUGUGAGCCACUGUGCCUGGCAGGAACUAUUAUUUGACUUCACAAUGGCCUCAAAGUUCCAAGAGUAUGAUGCUGGCAAUCUGGAUAUGCCAAAAACCAGCCAUGAAGUCCUUCCUUUAGUUAAAAGGUGAAAGUUCUCAAGAAAAAAAAAAGUAUGCUGAGAUUGCUAAGAUCUACAGUAAGAAUCAAUCUUCUAUCCAUGAAAUUGUGAAAAAGGACAAAGAAAUUUGUGCUAGUUUUGCUGCUGUACCUAAAACUACAAAAGUUACAGCCACAGUGUGGGCUAAGUGCCGAGCUGAAAUGGAAAAGGCAUUAAAGGGUCACACAAGGUCUUAAGACACAGGAGUCCCUGUGUCUGAACGUAAUCACUGUGUAUGCGUCUCAGCCUAAUGAGGAGGUGACUAUCAUGAAGGUCUGGUGGUGAAGAUCUUGCAAGAAGGUGCCUUGUUUGAGAUCUUUCAAGGAAACACAGUACUCAAUAAAUGUGGUUCGGUGUACAGUUGAGCCUUGAGCAACAUGGAUUUGAACUGCAUGGGGCCACUUAAAUGUGCAUUUUCUUAUGACUCCGCUGCUCUUGAGACAGCAAGAUCAAGCCCCCUCCUCCUCAGCCAACUCAACGUGAAGACAAUGAAGAUCAAGAUCUUUAAGAUGAUCCACUUCCACUUAAUGAAUAAUAAAUAUAUUUUGUCGUUAUGAUUUUCCUAACACUUUCUCUAGCUUACUUUAUUGCAGGAAUACAGUAUAUAAUCAUGUAACAUACCAAAU
rnacentral:lncRNA from 1 species